rnacentral:antisense_RNA from 1 species
CUUGAUGGUGGCUGUGCGCAGGGCGCUUCGGCGCGCCGGUUUUUGGUGAUGAUCCCCCGGUCGACUAACCUGCGUACAGCCGCCACCCCU